GACGAACGCUGGCGGCGUGCUUAACACAUGCAAGUCGAACGGAAAGGCCCUGCUUUUGUGGGGUGCUCGAGUGGCGAACGGGUGAGUAACACGUGAGUAACCUGCCCUUGACUUUGGGAUAACUUCAGGAAACUGGGGCUAAUACCGGAUAGGAGCUCCUGCUGCAUGGUGGGGGUUGGAAAGUUUCGGCGGUUGGGGAUGGACUCGCGGCUUAUCAGCUUGUUGGUGGGGUAGUGGCUUACCAAGGCUGUGACGGGUAGCCGGCCUGAGAGGGUGACCGGCCACAUUGGGACUGAGAUACGGCCCAGACUCCUACGGGAGGCAGCAGGGGGGAAUAUUGCACAAUGGGCGGAAGCCUGAUGCAGCAACGCCGCGUGCGGGAUGACGGCCUUCGGGUUGUAAACCGCUUUCGCCUGUGACGAAGCGUGAGUGACGGUAAUGGGUAAAGAAGCACCGGCUAACUACGUG
rnacentral:rRNA from 1 species